GAUGAAGAACGUAGCGAAAUGCGAUAAGUAAUGUGAAUUGCAGAAUUCAGUGAAUCAUCGAAUCUUUGAACGCACCUUGCGCCCUUUGGACUUCUGAAGGGCAUGCCUGUUUGAGUAUCAUGAACACCUCAACUCCUUAUGGUCUUCCAUGAUGAGCUUGGACUUUGGGGGUUUUGCUGGCCUACAGUCAGCUCCUCUAAAAUAAAUCAGCUUACCGGUGUUUGGUGGGUGUCAUGGGUGUGAUAACUAUCUACGCUCGUGGUUUUCCACCAGGUAACCUUCAGCAGUGGAGGUUCACUGGAGCUCAUAGAUGUCUCUCCUCAGCGAGGACAGCCCUUUGAAUGUUUGAUCUCAAAUCAGGUAGGACUACCCGCUGAACUUAAGCAUAUCAAUAAGCGGAGGA
rnacentral:misc_RNA from 1 species